GAUGAAGAACGCAGCGAAAUGCGAUAAGUAGUGUGAAUUGCAGAAUUCAGUGAAUCAUCGAAUCUUUGAACGCACAUUGCGCCCCUUGGUAUCCCGAGGGGCAUGCCUGUUCGAGCGUCAUUACAACCCUCAGGCCCCCGGGCCUGGCGUUGGGGAUCGGCGGAGCCCCCCGUGGGCACACGCCGUCCCCCAAAUGCAGUGGCGGUCCCGCCGCAGCUUCCAUCGCGUAGUAGCUAACACCUCGCGACUGGAGAGCGGCGCGGCCACGCCGUAAAACACCCAACUCUUCUGAAGUUGACCUCGAAUCAGGUAGGAAUACCCGCUGAACUUAAGCAUAUCAAUAAGCGGAGGA
rnacentral:misc_RNA from 1 species